rnacentral:pre_miRNA from 1 species
UUGGGUGCGGGGUGUUGUUGCGGUUCAACCUCACCGCGACAUCAAUUGACAAAGGGUUUGAUUCCGGGGUUUGGUUGAGCCGCAACAAUAUCCCGCACCACAAA